rnacentral:rRNA from 1 species
GACAGAGGGGGCGAGCGUUGUCCGGAGUCACUGGGCGUAAAGCGCGCGCAGGCGGCAACCUAAGUGUCGUGUGAAAGCCCCCGGCGCAACCGGGGGAGGCCAUGGCAAACUGGGUCGCGCGAGCUGCGGAGAGGCCCCUCGAAUUGCCGGUGUAGCGGUGAAAUGCGUAGAGAUCGGCAGGAAGACCAAGGGGGAAGCCAGGGGGCUGGCCGCAGGCUGACGCUGAGGCGCGACAGCGUGGGGAGCAAACCGG